rnacentral:lncRNA from 1 species
UCCUAUUUGUUUAUUUUUGCUUUUGUUUCCAUUAUUCCACAAGACAGAUCCAAAAAAAAUUGCUGCAAUUUAUGUCAAAGAGUGUGCCGCCUAUGUUUUCCUCUGGGAGUUUUGUAGUAUCCAGUAUUACAUUUAGGUCUUUAAUCUAUUCAGAGUUUAUUUUUGUGUAUGGUAUUAGAGAAUGUUCUAAUUUCAUUCUUUUACAUGUAGCUGUUCAGUUUUCUCGUCACCACUUAUUGAAGAGACAGUCUUUUCUGUGUUGUAUAUUCUUGCGUUCUUUGUCAUAGAUUAAUUGACCAUAAGUGCGUGGAUUUAUUUCUGAGCUUUCUAUCCUUCUCCAUUGAUUUAUGUGUCUGUUUUUGUGCUAGUACCAUAAUGUUUUGAUUACUGUAGCUUUGCAGUAUAGUCUGAAGUCAGGGAGCUGGAUUCCUCUAACUCCAUUUUUCUUUCUCAAGAUUGUUUUGACUAUUUGGGGUCUUUUGUGUUUUUGUACAAAUUUAAAAAUUUUUUGUUCUAAUUCUGUGAAAAAUGCCAUCGGUGAUUUGAUAGGAUUUGCUUUGAAUCUAUAGAUUGCUUUGGGUAGUUUAGCCAUUUUAGCAAUCUUGAUUCUUCCAAUCCAAGAACACAGUAUAUCUUUCCAUCUAUUUGUGUCAUUUUCAAUUUUUGCCUUAGUAAUUUAUUAAAGAUCUUUAUCACAAUGGCUGCGCCCAUGGCAUAUGGAAGUUCCCAGGCCAGGUACUGAAUCCCAGUUGCUACUGCAAACUAUACCACAGCUUCAGCAAUGCCAGAUUGUUAACCCACUGCACCACAGCAGGAACUCCCAAGUUCUAACAAUUUCGAAUUGUCUUUGUCUUCCAAUUCUAUCAUUAGUAAGCAUUAGCGAACUAUAUCAUUUUCAAAAAAUAUAAAAUUUUUUUAAAAAACAGGAACCAAAGCUCGAAUAAUAUCUUUAUAUACUGAUGGGCCAAUGAAGAUUAAGGAUCUCACUUAAGCAAAUAAAUUGUUAUCCUAAGAUGAAACUAUGAACCAUAGCCUAUUCUUGAAUUUGCUAAUUUGUCUUCUCUCUUUGAAAACAUUUACUCUCUGUUUCUGAUAUAUACAUAGCCAUUUUAUGUAUUUUUAAAUAUUUCGUCUUUGGAAUAUUAUAUGUCCUUUAUCUUAUCAAAAAUUACUUUUCUAAUCUUGAAAUUCUAUUACGUUUUAUAAUCAAAUGGAAAGAUAUUAUUUUUCAAAAAUCCACAUGAUUAACAACAACAGUUCAUAUAAUAGGAAACUCUAGUAUCUUUAUUUAGAAGAAGAAACAUCUUUACUACUAUAUUCAGUACAUCUGCUUUUUUUAGCUAAAGAUUCAAGAUACUGAAGAAACAAAGUUGCAUUGGACUAUUUCUCUUUUUUAAAUGUUAUUUAACAAGUCUCUGAGUGAUCAGGAAAGAUUCUUCUUCUGCUUAUUUUUGUCUUAUGCUUUUUUCCUCUUGUCUGUUUUCUAUCCCAUUUCAUUUUUACGCCUUCUUACUUUUAAGGACACAUAUCACACCCUGAAAAUGCUGCUUGCACAUCUCUAUUCUGUUUAUGACUAGGGUAAUGUCAUUGGCAUUUUAAUAUUUUACAGCAGCAGUCAUGACCAGACAUUCCUCUCCUCAUUUUUCCUUUUUCCUUUCUAUCUGUUACUCUUUAUUUUGCUUAAGCCUGAAUAAUAGAAUACCUAUAUGAAAUUGAAAGAAAGCUAAUUUUUAAAAAGGAAUGGCCAUAACUU